rnacentral:rRNA from 1 species
CCUACGGGAGGCAGCAGUGAGGAAUAUUGGUCAAUGGGCGCGAGCCUGAACCAGCCAAGUAGCGUGAAGGAUGACUGCCCUACGGGUUGUAAACUUCUUUUAUAAAGGAAUAAAGUGAGGCACGUGUGCCUUUUUGUAUGUACUUUAUCAUUAAGGAUCGGCUAAAUCAGUGCCAGCAGCCGCGGUAAUACGGAGGAUCCGAGCGUUAUCCGGAUUUAUUGGGUUUAAAGGGAGCGUAGAUGGGUUUUUAAGUCAGUUGUGAAAGUUUCCGGCUCAACCGUAAAAUUGCAAUUGAUACUGGCAGUCUAGAGGACAGUUGAGGUAGGGGGAAUUCGUGGUGUAGCGGUGAAAUGCUUAGAUAUCACGAGGAACACCGAUUGCGAAGGCAGCUUACUAAACUGCAACUGACAUUGAUGCUAGAAAGUGUGGGUAUCAAACAGGAUUAGAUACCCGGGUAGUA